AGGGCACCACCAGGAGUGGAGCCUGCGGCUUAAUUUGACUCAACACGGGAAACCUCACCAGGCCCAGACACCGGGAGGAUUGACAGAUUGAGAGCCCUUUCUUGAUUCAGUGGGUGGUGGUGCAUGGCCGUUCUUAGUUGGUGGAGCGAUUUGUCUGGUUAAUUCCGAUAACGAACGAGACUCUAGCCUACUAAAUAGACUGUUCAGCUUUAUAGCCGGAAUCACCGGGUGCGUGCCUCUCGGGGUGCGUAUUCGGCUCUGGUGACGCCGGCAGUGCUUCUUAGAGGGACAGGCGGCGGUUCAGCCGCACGAAACAGAGCAAUAACAGGUCUGUGAUGCCCUUAGAUGUCCGGGGCUGCACGCGCGCUACACUGAAGUGAUCAGCGUGCAAUUCAAGUUUGGUGAUCUGUCAAGAUUGCCCAACCCGUUGAACCUUCUUCGUGAUUGGGAUAGGGGAUUGUAAUUAUUCCCCUUGAACGAGGAAUUCCCAGUAAGCGCAAGUCAUAAGCUUGCGUUGAU
rnacentral:rRNA from 1 species